UCUGCGUACCAGGGGCGCUGCAAAGCUGAGACGUACCCUUUGAACCUGACCCAGAUAAUGCUGGCGUAGGGAGGUCGUAUGUUCCGCUU
rnacentral:ncRNA from 2 species